CCCUUAGAUGUCCUGGGCCGCACGCGCGCUACACUGAGUGUCUGAGAUACGAGUCUGCCUGGUCCGGCAAGGUCUAGGUAAUCGCUAAAAGACACAUCAUGCUUGGGGUAGAUUAUUGCAAAUAUUAAUCUUGAACGAGGAAUUCCUAGUAAGCGCAAGUCAACAGCUUGCGUUGAUUACGUCCCUGCCCUUUGUACACACCGCCCGUCGCUCCUACCGAUUGAGUGAUUCGGUGAAUAAUUCGGACUGCAGCAUUGCUUGGAUUCCGAGCUUUGCGGCGGAAAGUUUAGUGAACCUCAUCACUUAGAGGAAGGAGAAGUCGUAACA
rnacentral:rRNA from 1 species